GAAAAGCUGUUUUCAUUAGAAGCCUAUAUACCUGCCUUGGGAUCACCUGGUUUGACUCUUGCUUGUGGAUUGGCUGGACCCUUAGGGCUUGCAGAUGGAUACAAUAGAACAGGAAUGCUGAAAAAUCGUAAGAAAGACUCGUCAGGAUUAAAAUGUGAAAGAAAAGAAGCGGGCAGUAUCCAAGCUAUCCCAAAUCUGCCUUCCAGUUCACAAGAAAGACUUCUAACCAAAUUCUGCAGACCUACAAAGAUUUGUUUCUUUCUUAACCAUAACAUUCCCGUUGUGAGAUAAAAGUGAAGCGUGUUCAGUACCUGCUGCUGAGGGAGA